GAUGAACGCUAGCGAUAGGCUUAACACAUGCAAGUCGAGGGGCAGCACAAGGUAGCUUGCUAUCUGGGUGGCGACCGGCGCACGGGUGCGUAACGCGUAUGCAACUUGCCCUAUACAGGAGGAUAACCCGUCGAAAGACGGACUAAUACUGCGUAUGCUCACAACUUGGCAUCAAGUGGUGAGGAAAGAAAUUCGGUAUAGGAUAGGCAUGCGUCCCAUUAGCUUGUUGGUGAGGUAACGGCUCACCAAGGCAACGAUGGGUAGGGGAACUGAGAGGUUUAUCCCCCACACUGGUACUGAGACACGGACCAGACUCCUACGGGAGGCAGCAGUGAGGAAUAUUGGUCAAUGGGCGCGAGCCUGAACCGGCCAAGUCGCGUGAAGGAUGACUGUCUUAUGGAUUGUAAACUUCUUUUAUACGGGAAUAACAAGAGUCACGUGUGACUCCCUGCAUGUACCGUAUGAAUAAGCAUCGGCUAACUCCGUG
rnacentral:rRNA from 1 species